rnacentral:rRNA from 1 species
UACGAAAGGGGCUAGCGUUGCUCGGAAUUACUGGGCGUAAAGGGCGCGUAGGCGGGUACUUAAGUCAGAGGUCAAAUCCCAGGGCUCAACUCUGGAACUGCCUUUGAUACUGGGUACCUAGAGUUCGGGAGAGGUGUGUGGAACUCCGAGUGUAGAGGUGAAAUUCGUAGAUAUUCGGAAGAACACCAGUGGCGAAGGCGACACACUGGCCCGAUACUGACGCUGAGGCGCGAAAGCGUGGGGAGCAAACAGG